rnacentral:rRNA from 1 species
UACAGAAGGCAGCUACACGGCGACGUGAUGCUAAUCCCCAAAACCUCUCUCAGUUCGGAUUGGAGUCUGCAACCCGACUCCAUGAAGCUGGAUUCGCUAGUAAUCGCGCAUCAGCCACGGCGCGGUGAAUACGGUUCCCGGGCCUUGUACACACCGCCCGUCAAGCCAUGAAAGCCGGGGGUACCUGAAGUCCGUAACCGUAAGGAGCGGCCUAGGGUAAAACUGGUAAUUGGGGCUAAGUCGUAACAAGGUAUC